rnacentral:rRNA from 1 species
CCCCUAGACGUUCUGGGCUGCAUGCGCGCUACAAUAAUACGCACAGCGAGUAUCACCGAGCUCGAAAGGGCAAGGUAAACAAUAGAAAAGGUACUGUAAUGGUUAUAGAUCCUUGUAAUUAUUGAUCUUCAACGAGGAAUUCCUAGUAAGUAUGUGUCAUCAUCACGCACUGAUUACGUCCCUGCCCUUUGUACACACCGCCCGUCGCUCCUACCGAUUGGGUGAGCCGAUGAAACUCUCGGAUGUAGGCUAUUCAUAGCCCGCAGAAGAGAUUUGAAUCGUAGCGCUUAGAGGAAGGAGAAGUCGUAACA